GUCUAGGGCCAUACCACCCUGAAUGCGCCCAGUCUCAUCUGAUCUUGGAAACUAAGCAGGGUCGAGCCUGGUUAGUACUUGGAUAGGAGUAAAUAGAUUUAUUUAUUUA
ensembl:rRNA 5S_rRNA 5S ribosomal RNA